CGGGCGUACCCCUGACUCCAGCAGGGAAUAUAGCUUUACCAAACCUCCUUUACCAGACACAUCCGUUCUUGUACAACCCUACUGAAUCGUUACCUUAACCGACUGAGGUUCGACAACCGAGUGUAGAACCCCCCAACACCCGCCCGAAAGGCACUCACCAGCUCCCCAAUCCAAAUUGCCCCAAGCCCCCGAGAAGGCCAC